AUGAACGCUGGCGGCGUGCCUAAUACAUGCAAGUCGAGCGAACAGACGAGGAGCUUGCUCCUCUGACGUUAGCGGCGGACGGGUGAGUAACACGUGGAUAACCUACCUAUAAGACUGGGAUAACUUCGGGAAACCGGAGCUAAUACCGGAUAAUAUAUUGAACCGCAUGGUUCAAUAGUGAAAGACGGUUUUGCUGUCACUUAUAGAUGGAUCCGCGCCGCAUUAGCUAGUUGGUAAGGUAACGGCUUACCAAGGCGACGAUGCGUAGCCGACCUGAGAGGGUGAUCGGCCACACUGGAACUGAGACACGGUCCAGACUCCUACGGGAGGCAGCAGUAGGGAAUCUUCCGCAAUGGGCGAAAGCCUGACGGAGCAACGCCGCGUGAGUGAUGAAGGUCUUCGGAUCGUAAAACUCUGUUAUUAGGGAAGAACAAAUGUGUAAGUAACUAUGCACGUCUUGACGGUACCUAAUCAGAAAGCCGCGGCUAACUACGUG
rnacentral:rRNA from 1 species